rnacentral:rRNA from 1 species
UACGGAGGGUGCAAGCAUUAAUCGGAUUUAUUGGGCGUAAAGGGCGCGUAGGCGGGCAUUCAAGUCAGAUGUGAAAUGCCGGAGCUCAACUCCGGAACGGCAUUUGAAACUGAUUGUCUAGAGGGUAGGCGGAGAAAAUAGAAUUCCACAAGUAGCGGUGAAAUGCGUAGAUAUGUGGAAGAAUACCGGUGGCGAAGGCGAUUUUCUAGCUUAUACCUGACGCUGAGGCGCGAAAGUAAGGGGAUCAAACAGG